rnacentral:sRNA from 1 species
GAUAUGAUUAAUGAUUAAUUCUGUAAAAUAUUCUACACUUUUAGACUAACAUUAGAUAUAACUAAAAUAACAUGAAAUUAUGAAUUUCAUAACUAUUUUCAGGCUUCUGUGUGAUAAAUAAGCUUGCACAAACAUAGCCAUAAAUUUUCAAGGUAAAGAUUUUGUUUUAAAUUUUAAAUUAUACUUCACUGAAGCUUCAAGUAGUUCAUUUAACAGCCUGUUCUUGUAAUUUUAUUUUGUUAUUAACUCCCAGCUUUAGUAUAGUAUUAAAGUAGGCAAUAGGUCACAUUGUAGGAAUUCUUCCAAGACAAAAGUUUUGCUUUUUCCUAGUUCCCAAAUAUGAAAAGAGUUUAUAAAUAAUUCUCUAAAAUGCUCUAUAACAUUUGCAGUAUUGAGUUGCAAUCGUUCUGGGACUAAAAGAAAUUUUUCUUCAAAUUGAUAAAAUUUUAUCCAUUUAAGUCCCCUUAAGUAUACAUACAUUUCUAAAUGAAUUCAUGUUGUAUGAGUUUCAAAACAAUUAUUUCCUAUGUACCUUUAUGUUUAACUCAUGUCUCAUUUCCUUAAAUCUGUAGGACCUGGACUGUAUCUGUGGUUUUCUACAUGGGAGGAAAUCAGGCAGAAGGCAUGUAAGAGAACUUACCUUGGCAGUUUUAGUAAUGGACCCUGAGCCAAAAUCCAUGCUGAAGCCAGGAUUUUCUCCACACUUCCUUAAAGCCAACUUGAAAAAGUAUUUUUAGUAUUUCUACUCAAUCCAUGUCAUUUAGAGCCAAAAAAUAUGAUUUAUAUACAGUAAUAAAUAAUGCAUUAUGCGUAGAGAGAGAAUGAAGGUUGGAGACUAUUAGAGAAAGAAACAAAAUCUCUAAACUUGACCUCAUUGUUUGAGUUUAGUUCCAGGAAACAACUAUUUGCUUUUAUUUCCUUAAGUAUUCUCAAAAUACCCUAACAGCAUUAUCUUUUCCAUUAUACGUUUGUUCUGAAGUUUCUUGGGCAGCAGGCUAGUAAUGGUUUUAUAAGCCUCAGUUUUUAGGAACAGGGGUGCCUGCUCAAGACUUAGGCUUUUGCGACUCACAGAAUUCACUUUAGACUUUCCAAAGCUGUCUCUCAUAGUUGUUGACAGACUCCAUGGUGAAGACAGGACAAGGAGAGCCCAGCUUCAAGGAAGAGCUAAAUAAGCUUCUGCCGUGUGUUUUGCAGAAACCAUUCUAGAUGCUUUUUGAUUCAGACUAACAACCCAAAUCAAGCUUGAAUUGGCUCCUUUUCCAACUCUGUCUUUCUUGACAGGGCCACAUUACUGGUGUGAGGUACAAAGGAAGCAGCUGGUCAAGGAUGGUUGCUUGUGACACUGUGUGGAUAAUUUUGCAUUCUAUGAUGGGAGGAGUGUCCACAGUUAUGCACAAGCAGACAUGGUUCUGUAUGUCAAAAGAAAAAUAUCUAAGAUAGUUGGUUCAAAUGUUUAUCAGCUUGAAUAUUUGAGUUCUGAGAUGUACAGUGAAAUGUGAACUCCUAUUUAUACUUUUGUCUGGUAUGCUGAAGAAUGUGGGAUACAGGACCUGUGAGCAGAACAUUUGGAUUCUAGACAACUAGUCUCCUGAUUUAAAGAAAACAGCUCUCACGGUAUUCUGCUUCUUGAACCCUGAUAAUGUCAGGACUCUAGUUCUCUUUAGUUUGAUGCCCUAGUUAAUCUACAGUGUAGAAGCAUUUGCCUUCUCCAAUUGUGAGCAAUUAUCAGAUCUUUCUAUCUGGUGGAUUUAAGGUAUUUUUUCACUAUGUAAUAUUUAAAACAAUGCUAUUAUUUCACAUGUAUGGGUGUUUUUCUUGCAUGUGUUUCUAUGUACCACAUGUAUGCUUGGUACAUUUGGAAGCCAAAAGAAGGAAGAAGAGGCUACCAGAUAACCUGUAAGUAGAGGUACAGACAAUUAUAAGCUAAACUAUGGGUGCUGGGAAUUGAACCCAGGUCCCCUAGAAAAACCACUGGGGAUUUUAACAACUGAGUCAUCUCUCUCCAGCCUAUUAUGGAGCAUUUAAUCAACAUUAUAUAUAGAAAAAAGUUAAAGCUUAUUUCUUUUAGAAUUAAUUAUUAGCACUGUAAAACAGAACGUUAACUGACAGAUGAAUUCUGGAAGUGAAAGAGUAAUUAUUUCCAGGUGUGUAUUUACUGGUGACCUGCAAUAGAUUGUUCCCCAGUAGAUAGACCUCCAGUGUUCACACAGAUGGUCCUGGUUGAAGUGAAUGGGUCAUGGGAUAUAAGCAAAAGUAAUGACUCUCACAAAGGGACUGGUGGGAAUAGGAGAAGGUUACUAUCAAAAGAGAUGCUUGCAAGAGAGAGUGGGGAGAAUGACUUAAUCAAAGUAUAUCCUAUACAUGUAUGGAAGUGUCAAAGCACAGAAUCAAAUCAAUAUUUAAAAAUUACAACUUAUAAACAAGUUUAUUAAAUGUAUCUCCACCUGAGACUGUACAGAAGGACCACAGAGCAUCUGUGGGUGUUUUAAAAAGGUAUGGCCCUCCAUAGACUCAUGUGUUUGAAUGGCCCACAGACAGUAGCACUAUUAGGAAGUGUGGCUUUGUUGGAGCAGAUACAGCUUUGUUGGAUAAGUGUGUCACUGUUGGGGGAGGGCCUUGACGUUUCAUAUAUUCUCAAGCUAUGCUCAGUGUGAACAGUCUCCUGCUGUGUUCAGAUCAAGAUGUUGAACUCACAGCUUCUUCUCCAGCACCAUUUCUGCCUGGACACUGCCAUGCUUGACACCAUGAUGAUAAUGGAGUGAAACUCUGAAACGGUGACGGAUAUGAUGGCUCAUCCUGAUGAUCAACAUGAUUGGAUCUGGAGCUAAGUAGAAGAUAUGUCUUUGGGAAUGAUGUGUGGGUGUUUUCAGGAAGUACAAGAACUGCCCCUAGAGUGAGAAGCACCUUCUAAAGGCAGUUUUAUAUGAAGAGGGCCCUGGAAAAUACCAGAUUUGCUUCCCUCCUUUCUACUGACCAUGUCUGCUGUUACUGAUGCUGUCAUAUUUCACUGAUAUCAAAACCCAGAUUUUUAGUCCCCCAAUAUGGACUGCACAGGAAUGAUACUCCCAGAAUUUUCCAGGCCUUCAACCUCAAGUUGUUGAGGCCCGUGGCUUGGUAGGCUAGGAAGCUACCAAGCUCUCUGGCUCUAAGGUAUGUACCUGGGCACUGUUGGACUUCUAGCACCUAUCAUAUAAGCCAAUCUUAUAAGUUCCUUCAUAAUAUAUAUAUAUUAUAUACAUAUUAUAUAUGCAUAUAUUCAUUUCAUUGUCUCUUUUCAUCCAUAUCACUGGAACUAAUCCAACAAACAAUUGAAAAAUUCUUUGGGAAUAGCAAGGUUUCUCUUCCAUCUACUUCACCUGAGCAUAAUUACAGGGCUGUUCAUCAGACCACAUUCUCAAUGGCAUCAGAAACAAGAGUUGGUCAGAGUGGAGUUUGUGAUAGAACUGAGUUUCCUUUGGUCAUUGGUAUUCCAAUACAAUGAAAAUUUUGGAAUGGAAUGUCAUAGAUAUGUGAAGUUACAUACAUUUAGUUUUAAGGACCUUGAGGUCAUUAAGAGAACACCGACUGUCAAUAUAUUGUAAAUUUUCAUCUCUGAAUAUCAAACAAAAAAAUUAACUAAGAGAACAAAGUCUUUCGUGUAGAAACUAAUGCAUUAGUUUUGAAACUUAAAUAUUUCAUUUUAAAUAAUAAUUUUGUAUAGAUACAAUUUUUUAUCAUAUUAUACCUCAUUCUUCUGAGAUCUUUAGGAUUUUCCAAAAGCCAAUGUAUUCAAAGUGAAACACUUUAGUAGUAGGGUCUGGUGGGAUCCAUCAGGUAGCUCCGGAGGGUACUUUCGAAGGAGGUGGUGGAACUCUAAUCUUCUUCUGCCCCCUAUUUUGUUGCUAGUAGUUAAGUGAAUGGUUUUGAUUCAUCAUUAAUGAUGUUACUGUAUAUUACCUUUACAUAGCACCCAAAACUGCAUGGUCAACCAAAAUAUGGAUGGUACCUCCAAUAUUAUGAGCUCAGAUUUUUUUUUUAAUCUGAGGUUUUUUCAUAUCUCAGGUGUAAGAGCAGAAAGGUGAUGGACAAAAAUUGUAUCUGUUAAUUUCUCUGGAAGACAUUUUAAAAAUGUUUUGAUUAUAAAAUUACUAAUCAAGGCUUAAUAGAUCCUAUAAUACAAACAGCCCACAAGCCAAUGAAGGAACUGUCCAGCAGAAUUUAUCUGCAUACUUGCUUUACUUUUUCAAUUAUUUCUUUUCUUUUUUAGAUUAUUUCAACCCUACACAAAGAACUAAGGAAGCUAAGGACUGCCCAGAGCGGGAGAAAUAGUCUUCCUUAAGGCCCAUUCGGGUUGGAGAGGUUACUCCAACAUGUGUUCCUGAAGGAAGGAGCCUCAGGCUGUAACACCUACAGGUGAUGCAGAUCAAUGACACACACAAUUUCACACAUACUUGUAUAUUUGGAGAAGAGAUUGAAGGAAAAGGCAUCCAGCGACCGGCCUAAUUUGGGGACCAUUCCAUGGAUGGACUCCAAGCUCUGCCACUAUUGUUGAUGCCAUGUUGUGCUUGUAUACAGGAACCUCACAUGGUUGUCAUCUGAGAGGCUCUAUCAGCAGAUGCAUAAGGCAGAUGCAAAUACUUAUAGCCAAUCACUAGACUGAAAUCAGAGACUAUUAUGGAAAAGUUGGAAGAAGUAUUGAAGGAACUAAAGAGGAUGUCAACCCCAUAAGAAGACCAACAGAAUCAACUAACCAGACUCUUGGGAGCUCUAAGAGACUAAGCCACCAAGCAAAUAGCAUCCAUGGGUUGGUCCAUGGCUCUGGCAUAUAUAUAGUAGAGGACUGCCCUCUCUGACCUUAGUGGGAGAAGAAGUGCCUAAUCCUGUAGAGAUUUGAUGCCCUAGGGAAGGAGGGUGCAGAAGGUGAGGUAGGGAUGAAGUGGGUGGAUGGGUGAGGGAGCACCCUCUCAGAGGCAAAGGGAAGGGGUGAUGGGGUGAAGAACUCUUGGUGGGAGUACCGGGA